GGCGGUCGGAUGAAGAAACUCAAGCGGACGUACGAAUCUAAUAUAAUGUAUGAGAGAGUACUAAAUAAGAUGUUGUUUUUCUAGUGUUUUAAAAUUUCAUGUUUCUCUUCUGUUGUGUCGUUCCUUUACUUUGGUUGUAUGUACUAUGUUCGUAAUCAACGUCCGCUAUAUGAAGUUCAUAUCCAAGGUUUACGUUAUUCUAUAUUCUUAAUUACUAAAACAAAGUUUAGUUAGUUUCACUGAUAUGAAAAAUUAAUAAUUAAACAUUAAAGAAAUAAAAUAAUCACUAAUAUGCAAUGCAGUUGAGAAGGAACGGAACAUUUUAAUUUAAAGAAAAUGAAGUAACGGGACAUUCUUAAAGUAUCCUGUUUAUACUUGAGAAUUAAUAUAGUUGAGAGAGAAUGAUGGACUGCUUUAAGGAACCAUGGCAUCCCCUGAAUUUAGGGCCCUACUUUUUUUUGUCGUCAAGUAGGGUUGUAUUAAAUAUGUGGUGUCUUUUUAAAAAAAAGAAUUGAGCUAGAUUUUAGACUCAUGACAUAAGAUGGCGAUUUGGAUUUUGGACAACCAAAUAGAAUGCACACUUAGAAUAAGAUUUCUAUUGAAUUUUUUUGUCAUCUUUUCAUCCUUGAUCGCUAAUUUUUUUUCAAAUAUACCGUCUUUUGAAAUGUUUCUAGAGAAAGAGAAAAUGUCAAAAUUCUACCAAAAGUCUAGACACGCAUCUGAUUGCCUUCUUAGUGUUAACGGCUAAUUACAGUUUUUUUUUUUCUGGUAAUGGUACUUAAAUAAGGAUAAAGGGAAUUUCAAUAUUUCAAGGACUCUCAAUUUUACAACAGAAAAUAGCAAACUUUGACAAAAACGAGAUAGAUUAGCAAAAUACUAUGUGUUUAGCAUAUUUUGCAAAAUAUUUCUUUGAUCCACCACAAAAAGGUCUUACAAGGUUAAUUAACAUCUACAGUUUGCAAAGAAGGUUAGACCUAUUUUUCGACAAUGAAUAGAGGUUGAAACUCUUAUGUGUGUUUUCUUGUUAUAUUAAGAGUACAUAAGUUUUUUUUUUGUUGGUCAAAAUGUUAAAAGAGUACAUCUGUGUUCUCAAGUGCAAUUCUAUAGUCUUAUAGGAGUGAAACAAAAACGAGAUAGAUAAGCAAAAUAUGUGUUUCGCAUAGUUUGCAAAAUAUGUGUUUCGCAUAGUUUGCAAAAUAUUUCUUUGAUCCACCACGAAAAGGAGGCGAAAAUAAGUGUAUUCGUAGAGGGUUAAUUUACCCUACAGAGUUAUAUAAAUUAGUUUAAUUUUUAUUAAAUACUUAAACUUGACUCCAUCAAAACAUAAAUAUGACCUCUAUCAAAUUUAAGUUCAAACGAAGUCCGACAAUAUCGUGAAAGUUCUUCAAUUUUCAACCAAUUUAUCAUGAUCCCAGCAUGUAAUUUGUAUGGCUCCGCAGAAAAUACAAUUGUUGGAAUUGGAACUGAGAGUUUACUAUACUUUUUUAUAUUAUUUUGUUUUCGUGUUGGGCCGAUCAUCUCAUUAACAAGCUUUCACGUGAGUAUUUUGCUGAAUCCGCCAAUCAUUAUAUUUUAAAUCUGCUCAAUCUUAUUAGCGGAUGAUUAGUUUGGCACGAGCUAUCGAUCUCAUAUGAUUCUUGAACACAUAAUGCUACAAUAUAUAAAAUAUAUACUAUUUAAUUAUUUUAUACAAAUAACUAUUUUUAUCCGAUAUAGUUUAAAAAGUCACAGAAAAGGAGUACAUGUACGUUGAUAAAAGGGAAAAAAUGUAUUUUUGGUUUCACUUUUCAGAAAAUAAAAUUAAAUAAAAUGUCAAUCAAAGCAGAUGAGAGGUAAAUAGGUGCUCUACAUUAAAUGUAACCAACGGCCAACUAACUAAUCCUUUCUUCUAAUCGCAUUCACAUUCUCAAAACAUAAACUUUCAUUCUCUAUAUAAACACUGACUCCCUCAACUCUCUUCACCACCCAAAUAUCUUACUUGUUUACAUCUUCUUUUGCAAACCAACAGAAACACUAAUAGAAAAAUGGCCGGUGUAAUGAAGUUGGUAUGCUUGGUCUUGGCCUGCAUGAUUGUGGCAGGUCCGAUCACAGCGAACGCAGCUCUGACCUGUGGCACCGUUAACAGCAACGUGGCACCGUGCAUUGGCUACAUAACCCAAGGUGGACCCCUUCCCGGAGCGUGCUGCACCGGUGUUAGUAAACUUAACAGCAUGGCCCGUACAACCCCGGACCGUCAGCAAGCUUGUCGUUGCCUUAAAACUGCUGCUAGCGCCUUAGGCCCUAGUCUCAACGCUGGCCGUGCAGCUGGAAUUCCCAAGGCAUGUGGAGUCAGUGUUCCUUUCCCAAUCAGC
rnacentral:lncRNA from 1 species